GGGGAAUAUUGCACAAUGGGGGAAACCCUGAUGCAGCGACGCCGCGUGGAGGAAGAAGGUCUUCGGAUUGUAAACUCCUGUUGUUGAGGAAGAUAAUGACGGUACUCAACAAGGAAGUGACGGCUAACUACGUGCCAGCAGCCGCGGUAAAACGUAGGUCACAAGCGUUGUCCGGAAUUACUGGGUGUAAAGGGAGCGCAGGCGGGAAGACAAGUUGGAAGUGAAAUCUAUGGGCUCAACCCAUAAACUGCUUUCAAAACUGUUUUUCUUGAGUAGUGCAGAGGUAGGCGGAAUUCCCGGUGUAGCGGUGGAAUGCGUAGAUAUCGGGAGGAACACCAGUGGCGAAGGCGGCCUACUGGGCACCAACUGACGCUGAGGCUCGAAAGUGUGGGUAGCAAACAGGAUUAGAUACCCUGGUAGUCCACACCGUAAACGAUGAUUACUAGGUGUUGGAGGAUUGACCCCUUCAGUGCCGCAGUUAACACAAUAAGUAAUCCACCUGGGGAGUACGACCGCAAGGUUGAAACUCAAAGGAAUUGACGGGGGCCCGCACAAGCAGUGGAGUAUGUGGUUUAAUUCGACGCAACGCGAAGAACCUUACCAAGUCUUGACAUCCCUUGACGAACAUAGAAAUAUGUUUUCUCUUCGGAGCAAGGAGACAGGUGGUGCAUGGUUGUCGUCAGCUCGUGUCGUGAGAUGUUGGGUUAAGUCCCGCAACGAGCGCAACCCUUAUGGUCAGUUACUACGCAAGAGGACUCUGGCCAGACUGACGUUGACAAAACGGAGGAAGGUGGGGAUGACGUCAAAUCAUCAUGCCCUUUAUGACUUGGGCUACACACGUACUACAAUGGCGUUAAACAAAGAGAAGCAAGACCGCGAGGGGGAGCAAAACUCAGAAACAACGUCCCAGUUCGGACUGCAGGCUGCAACUCGCCUGCACGAAGUCGGAAUUGCUAGUAAUCGUGGAUCAGCAUGCCACGGUGAAUACGUUCCCG
rnacentral:rRNA from 1 species